UUAAUUAGAAUAUUGUGUCGUCUGCUUUCUUUGUUUCAGUUUCGAAAAAACCAAAAGACGAAGUUUCAGAUAUUUUUGUUCGUAGAAUAAAACUGAACGGAUCACUGAUUUGGAAACAUGUAGCUUACUUGGCUACACGUAUGAGAAAUAGCAUCAACAAAAUAAAAUGUGGUCGUCGUGUGAAUUUUCAAUUUGGGUGUCGUGACUGCCUUCCACUCCAUGCUGUUUCUCAGAUUUCAGGUCUGAUCCAGCCAUCGUACUCACAAGAUGUUUGAAUACUGACCUGUCAUCACCAGCAAUCUCAGCAUCAUCAAUUGGAUAAAUAGCUCCUAGUUUAAUUGGGAAAACUCUGUCCUCUCGUGUAGACCCAUGUGAAGGUGUGUGUAUAGUCACGAUGACAUCCUUUUCCUAUCCUGCCUGGCGUCAACUUUACUGAAGAUGAAGCACUUGUGGAUGCCUGGCUGUGGAUGUUCCGGGCUUAAAGGUAGGACACACGUCUUUCUAUUCUUCAUUUUUUUUACUAUUUGGUGGCGUUGGUUAUGAAACGUAAUGAAGUGCGAUUAUUUCUGAGCUAGACGGUUGACUGCAAGUGUUCUCUUGCCGUUUCUGUUAUCUCAAUCAAGGUUAAUUAAAAGGUAACUCAUUUGUAGAGCGACUGCACAUCAGGCUUGUUUUAUACCUCACAACUUUGUCUGCGGGUAAACAAUCAAAGUCUAUAAAAUCUUAUGUCCGAAUGGGACCUGCCACCACACCGGCACCUCCUCGUACAUUGUACAGUCAUCAUCAUUUCCUUUUAAAUUAAAAAGAUAUACUUGCAUUUGGCCUAUUGAAUUAAGUAACACAUACCGCAU